UACGUAGGGGGCGAGCGUUGUCCGGAUUUAUUGGGCGUAAAGAGCUCGUAGGCGGGCUGACAAGUCUGGGGUGAAAUCCCGCGGCUCAACCGUGGAACUGCCUUAGAUACUGUCGGCCUCGAGGAAGGUAGGGGCAUGCGGAACUGUAGGUGGAGCGGUGAAAUGCGUUGAUAUCUACAGGAACUCCGGUGGCGAAGGCGGGUCUCUGGGCCGAUACUGACGCUGAGGAGCGAAAGCGUGGGGAGCAAACAGG
rnacentral:rRNA from 1 species